UUAAGAAUCUUGCACAAUGGGCGCAAGCCUGAUGCAGCGACGCCGCGUGAAUGAUGAAGGCCUUCGGGUUGUAAAGUUCAGUAAGCAGGGAAGAAUAAGUGGGGGGUAAUAUUCCUCAUGAUGACGGUACCUGCCUAAAGCCCCGGCUAACUACGUGCCAGCAGCCGCGGUAAUACGUAUGGGGCGAGCGUUGUUCGGAAUUAUUGGGCGUAAAGGGCGUCUAGGCGGGAAAUUAAGUUAGGUGUGAAAGCUAUGGGCUCAACCCAUAAACUGCACCUAAAACUGAUUUUCUUGAGUUCGGGAGAGGAGAGCGGAAUUCCAGGUGUAGCGGUGAAAUGCGUAGAUAUCUGGAAGAACACCAGUGGCGAAGGCGGCUCUCUGGCCUAGAACUGACGCUGAAGCGCGAAAGCGUGGGGAGCGAACAGG
rnacentral:rRNA from 1 species